rnacentral:tRNA from 1 species
GGAGGGGCUGCAGCUCAGUGUCAGAGAUUCUGCUUGGCAUGCGGAAGUUCCCGGGUUCGAUCCCCGGCUUCUCCA